ACUACAUAUUACGCGAAUCCAACUUCAUCAGCUUCGGCUGUCAACAUCGCUCGAAGCAGGCGAAAAAACGGUGUUCGCAUUUGGAUAUGUACUGUGCAAUGGGUUGAGCCACCUAGACAACAUUCGUUACAGGGAAAAUACCAAGAAAAAUGGAGAAAUUUUGAUACACAAAUUACCUGGCGCGUUGUAUGUUGCAAAAUGCCAGGCAUUGUAGUGUUUCGCAGACGAUGGUCCGUCGGCUCAGACGAUUUGGUGGUGCCAGCCGUUUUUCUACUGGUUUUGCACGCAGCAUGGAUCAUCAUCCUGGGCAUCAUCCUUGGUGUGGUGGACUUCGAGAGGAAGGUGGCGUGCACCCAGGACCUCCACGACCAUGUCCUGGGCUACCUCAUCAUACUGUCUGUGUGCUUCUUCAUGGAGCUGCUCAUCGCCAUCAUCAGCAUGCGGGGCGGCAUCCUGGACAACCACCCACGACGCAGCAUGCAGUACCUGCUGUACCUCAGACUCAUUGUGUUCCUGGGAGAGCUGGCGUGGCUGGUGGUGGGCAUCGUGUGGACAGCCAAACACUUCAACACCUGCAACCCAAUAUCUGCAAAGAAGGCCGUCCUAGGUGUGAUCGUAUGCAACUGGUUGGUGAUGCUGAUAGUGAUCGUCUCCCUUUGGUGCACGUUUGACUCAGCAGGCAGAAAAUGGGUGAAGAUGAAGAAAUACCAAGACAGCCUAAAGGAGAAGCGACGAGGGAAUCGCAGGAUCUCUGGGAGUACUCGCAGGAACUGGCGCCAGAGGUCUAGGCUAAUAAAGGAAUUUUUCCAUCAAAAGUUCCGCAGGAAGGCAUUCCGAGCGUACGAGGAGAGUUGGGACCGUCGUCUACAGCUGCUGUGCUGCUGUGUGGAGCGCAAGGGAAGGAACAGGAACUCCAUUGCCGAGAUCGCCCAACUCUUUACGGAAUUCUUCCGGGAUUUAGAUGUGGUGCCAUCCGAUGUGAUCGCAGGCCUGGUUCUACUUCGGCAGUUCCAGAAGCAGCGCAUGGCCAACAUCGUAUGGCAGGGUAACAACGACGUCUACCAGUACCUGUCAGGGGUGCCCAUCACCCCCCACACCCAGUUCCUCCAGCUGAGCGUGCCGUCCGUGAUGGAGGACUACCGCCGCGUCAUCCACUACAUGAGACACGCCCUGGCGGCGUACGGCUGGCCCGCCACCAUGAUGAUCAACCCCGGGACCUGGCUGUGUCGACUCAUGCCCUUUCUCACUUGUUGCUGCUGCAACAAGCAACGCAAUGCCAUCGUCAUCGACGACAACUGCUGCCUGUGCAACUUCUCCGCCUUGCGUCGUAUCAGCGGUCUCCAGGAGGUGGAUGUGGUUUAUGCGACCUACCAUGUUGAUAUUGGUGAGACUCCAUUUUAUGUGGCCCUGGACCAUGCUGAGAAGACUGUGGUUGUCUGUGUUAGGGGCACACUGUCAUUACAGGAUGUGCUGACAGAUCUAAAGGCGGAGGCGGAGACCCUCCCCCUGACACCGCCCAGGGAGGACUGGCAAGGUCACAAGGGCAUGGUGCAGGCUGCCGUCUACAUCAAGAAGAGGCUGGACGAGGAGGGCAUCAUCAUCAAAGCCAUGAAUCUUGCCGAGGAGCUGAGUUCCGAGAAGUACGACCUGACCCUAGUGGGUCACUCUCUGGGGGCGGGCACAGCCGCCAUCCUGGCCAUCCUCCUUCAGCCCGAGUUCCCCACCCUGCACUGCUACGCCUUCUCUCCCCCAGGGGGACUUAUCAGGUCAGUCCACUCACUGCAUCACACAAACACCCCCCCACCCUGCACUGCUACGCCUUCUCUCCCCCGGGGGGACUUAUCAGGUCAGUCCACUCACAGCAUCACACAAACACACCCCCACCCUGCACUGCUACGCCUUCUCUCCCCCGGGGGGACUUAUCAGGUCAGUCCACUCACAGCAUCACACAAACACACCCCCACCCUGCACUGCUACGCCUUCUCUCCCCCAGGGGGACUUAUCAGGUCAGUCCACUCACAGCAUCACACAAACACACCCCCACCCUGCACUGCUACGCCUUCUCUCCCCCGGGGGGACUUAUCAGGUCAGUCCACUCACAGCAUCACACAAACACACCCCCACCCUGCACUGCUACGCCUUCUCUCCCCCGGGGGGACUCAUCAGGUCAGUCCACUCACAGCAUCACACAAACACACCCCCACCCUGCACUGCUACGCCUUCUCCCCCCCAGGGGGACUCAUCAGGUCAGUCCACUCACAGCAUCACACAAACACACCCCCACCCUGCACUGCUACGCCUUCUCUCCCCCAGGGGGACUUAUCAGGUCAGUCCACUCACAGCAUCACACAAACACACCCCCACCCUGCACUGCUACGCCUUCUCUCCCCCGGGGGGACUUAUCAGGUCAGUCCACUCACAGCAUCACACAAACACCCCCACCCUGCACUGCUACGCCUUCUCUCCCCCAGGGGGACUUAUCAGGUCAGUCCACUCACAGCAUCACACAAACACCCCCACCCUGCACUGCUACGCCUUCUCUCCCCCAGGGGGACUUAUCAGGUCAGUCCACUCACAGCAUCACACAAACACCCCCACCCUGCACUGCUACGCCUUCUAUCCCCCAGGGGGACUUAUCAGGUCAGUCCACUCACAGCAUCACACAAACACCCCCACCCUGCACUGCUACGCCUUCUCUCCCCCAGGGGGACUUAUCAGGUCAGUCCACUCACAGCAUCACACAAACACCCCCACCCUGCACUGCUACGCCUUCUCUCCCCCAGGGGGACUUAUCAGGUCAGUCCACUCACAGCAUCACACAAACACCCCCACCCUGCACUGCUACGCCUUCUCUCCCCCAGGGGGACUUAUCAGGUCAGUCCACUCACUGCAUCACACAAACACACCCCACCCUGCACUGCUACGCCUUCUCUCCGCCGGGGGGACUUAUCAGGUCAGUCCACUCACAGCAUCACACAAACACCCCCACCCUGCACUGCUACGCCUUCUCUCCCCCAGGGGGACUUAUCAGGUCAGUCCACUCACAGCAUCACACAAACACCCCCACCCUGCACUGCUACGCCUUCUCUCCCCCAGGGGGACUUAUCAGGUCAGUCCACUCACAGCAUCACACAAACACCCCCACCCUGCACUGCUACGCCUUCUCUCCCCCAGGGGGACUUAUCAGGUCAGUCCACUCACAGCAUCACACAAACACACCCCCACCCUGCACUGCUACGCCUUCUCUCCCCCAGGGGGACUUAUCAGGUCAGUCCACUCCCAGCAUCACACAAACACACCCCCACCCUGCACUGCUACGCCUUCUCUCCCCCAGGGGGACUUAUCAGGUCAGUCCACUCACAGCAUCACACAAACACACCCCCACCCUGCACUGCUACGCCUUCUCUCCCCCAGGGGGACUUAUCAGGUCAGUCCACUCACAGCAUCACACAAACACACCCCCACCCUGCACUGCUACGCCUUCUCUCCCCCAGGGGGACUUAUCAGGUCAGUCCACUCACAGUAUCACACAAACACACCCCCACCCUGCACUGCUACGCCUUCUCUCCCCCAGGGGGACUUAUCAGGUCAGUCCACUCACAGCAUCACACAAACACACCCCCACCCUGCACUGCUACGCCUUCUCUCCCCCGGGGGGACUCAUCAGGUCAGUCCACUCACAGCAUCACACAAACACACCCCCACCCUGCACUGCUACGCCUUCUCUCCCCCAGGGGGACUUAUCAGGUCAGUCCACUCACUGCAUCACACAAACACACCCCCACCCUGCACUGCUACGCCUUCUCUCCCCCAGGGGGACUUAUCAGGUCAGUCCACUCACUGCAUCACACAAACACACCCCCACCCUGCACUGCUACGCCUUCUCUCCCCCAGGGGGACUUAUCAGGUCAGUCCACUCACAGCAUCACACAAACACACCCCCACCCUGCACUGCUACGCCUUCUCUCCCCCAGGGGGACUUAUCAGGUCAGUCCACUCACAGCAUCACACCAACACACCCUCACCCUGCACUGCUACGCCUUCUCUCCCCCAGGGGGACUUAUCAGGUCAGUCCACUCACUGCAUCACACAAACACACCCCCACCCUGCACUGCUACGCCUUCUCUCCCCCAGGGGGACUUAUCAGGUCAGUCCACUCACAGCAUCACACAAACACCCCCCCACCCUGCACUGCUACGCCUUCUCUCCCCCGGGGGGACUUAUCAGGUCAGUCCACUCACAGCAUCACACAAACACACCCCCACCCUGCACUGCUACGCCUUCUCUCCCCCAGGGGGACUUAUCAGGUCAGUCCACUCACAGCAUCACACAAACACACCCCCACCCUGCACUGCUACGCCUUCUCUCCCCAGGGGGACUUAUCAGGACAGUCUGUCCACUCACAGCAUCACACAAACACACCCCCACCCUGCACUGCUACGCCUUCUCUCCCCCGGGGGGACUCAUCAGGUCAGUCCACUCACAGCAUCACACAAACACACCCCCACCCUGCACUGCUACGCCUUCUCUCCCCCGGGAGGACUCAUCAGGUCAGUCCACUCACAGCAUCACACAAACACACCCCCACCCUGCACUGCUACGCCUUCUCUCCCCCGGGGGGACUUAUCAGGUCAGUCCACUCACAGCAUCACACAAACACACCCCCACCCUGCACUGCUACGCCUUCUCUCCCCCAGGGGGACUUAUCAGUAUAUCCUGUGUGGAGGAGACCAAGUCCUACAUCACGUCUGUUGUCGUGGGGAAAGAUGUCGUGCCCAGAAUUGGUCUGCCCCAGAUGGAGCUGCUGAGGACAGACAUCAUCAACAUGAUCAAGAAGAGCAACGACCCAAAGUGGCAGAUUAUCUCAAAGGGAGUGUUCUGCUGUUGUGGGGACUACACAGGCAAGAAGGGGUCUCAGGUGGACUUAGACCGCAAUGUGACCGCUCACCCUAGUGACUCCCAGAUCGGCCUGUCCGCCCAUGUCCCGCUGUUUCCCCCGGGGAAGAUCAUCCACAUCGUCCGGAGUCACCCAAAGGAGUCAGGGCAUGUUCAUAACCGUCGCUAUUCCAAGAAGCCAGUGUGUCAGAGUUCUGAGCCCGUUUACCAGGCCGUGUGGGCAGGAAAUGGAGACUUCGACGAGGUUCUCAUCUCCCCUACCAUGAUCAACGACCACAUGCCUG
rnacentral:misc_RNA from 1 species